UAAGGAAUAUUGGGCAAUGGACGCAAGUCUGAMCCAGCCAUGCCGCGUGAAGGAUGAAGGCCCUAUGGGUUGUAAACUUCUUUURUACGGGAAAAAACCUCCGGUCGUGAAUCGGAGCUGAUGGUACCGUAAGAAUAAGCAUCGGCUAACUCCGUG
rnacentral:rRNA from 1 species